CUCGAUCUCGUCCGCCUGUCGGAGUCAACACCAACGGCGGCGCUGCUUCUCGAGGACCCCGCGGCCGAGCCCCAUCCACUCGCUCCCUGUGCCUUUGCCUCGACGUGCGCCUCCACAAGCCGUCGCUCCCGCCACCGCCUUCCCUACCAUGUGCUCCCCGGGCGACGCCCUCGAAUCCUCUGCGGGCGCCCACCCUCGUGCCGGCCCCAAACCCUGCCAGUAUCCUAACUAGAUGUCCUCUCUAGAACGGGCGGUUAGCGAGGAUGCUGGUGAUGCACGGGGCCUGCUCGAGAAUUUCCAGGUUGAGCUAGUUGCGGUUGUCCCACCGGCAGACCAUCUUGUCAUUGUAGUGCUGCUCUUUGUGAUAGGGCAUGAGCAGGACGUCGGCACGAACCUCGUCCAGACAGCGGCGGAUGGUCUUCAGGAAUCCUGUGGCUGCAGCAUAGGUGCGCAUCUCUCCCUGCGACACAGCCAGACGAAUAAUGUCCUUACCGCUUUAUUUCGUGAGAGGGUAAAAUACAUCUGUACAUUAUUUACAAGCGUAUCAUUUUACCUGUCUCCCAAGUGCGCCCUUACCCAUGAUGGUGAUUACCACUGUGACGAUCUUCCUCUAUAUUCGGGACGAUGGUAGGAGGUGGAUUCACAUACCCCCUGGGCGCCUCUCCACCGCUGCACCCCAUUUCCCUUCCUAAGGUUGUGUUUUAUUUCACAUUGAUCAAUUUGUGGGGAGCAGGCCCAUAUGUAGCAAGGAGCAAGCUGCACAAGAAAUUAAUUGGAACCAAGAUACUCAUCUUUAAUUUAAUAGUAAGGGGUUGAGACUUGGACAAACAAGAACAAGAACAAUUUAUUAUCAAGAUAUCUGCUAUGCAAAUCUACAACGAGAUCGUCAAGGAUCUUCUACGGCCUGACUCUGGCCCCCUUCGCUUGUUAGAUGAUCCCGAGGUUUGCAACAGAAAGGAACCAUCGUGGACAAGUUGGAUGAAGGAAUCGCCAAGGACAGCCAGUAUCUAAGGCAUCUAAUAGCCAUUUGUGAAGGCACUACUACAUAUGCAUGUAUGUAUAUAUAUCCUACCAUAUGAGAAAGAAGAAGGUGGUGCAGUGAUAGUUACCUAAUGACCUUCCAAGUAACUGCAGAACAAAGACAGCUUGGUGAAACUGCACUAAGUGACACAAGUACACAUUCCCACCAAAUCAUUAGGCUGUUUAUAUCUAUAUCCAGACUGUGGAGAGUAUGCUCCAUGAAGCGCCAGGCCGUGUUAUAUCUUUUAUUGCUAGCUUGAAUUUCGUUGACCUUGCUUGAAGCGAGCGUGCUGCACAAACACAUGCUGUUAGUGCAAGGUUGAAAGAAGGCGCCAUAUUAAUCGCAGCUUGUUGACUUUGACUACUUUCAUCCGAAAGCUAAGGUUUAGAUUUCUUCUCAAAAACAAAAUUUCCACUUGUACAUCACAAGAUUGGAUAGAGCUCUCAACAAAUUAAUGGGCACUGCCUCCUAAUGAAUUUCAUGAACUGCAUGAUGAACAUAUUCUUGAUAAGCUACUCUUUUAAGUGAAAAGCUAAGGUUUCGUACUUCCAAUUAUUAUACAAUCUAAAUUGUUGAAGUAUAGGAUGAAAAUAUUCUUGCUAAGCAGAUUUUGUUAUUGUUGCACAAGUAGCUACAUCUUUUCAAAUGCAUAAAAUUGCUAAAAUGUCGUUCACAUUAUGUGAGUCAUACAUAUUGGUUUCUUGAUUUUAGUAGCAAAAUCUGAUGAUAACAUGUUUUAAACUUGCAUUGUAGCUCAGAGAAGAUAAGUUUCAAAUCAUAGGAUCCUCUGAUGACAUUUCUGCCAUACAAGCAAUAAGCUUUGAAGUCCGUAAUGUCAACUAUUGAGUAGCAACUAGGAAGAAUUAAGUGGCAAUGAACCUCUCUGAUAAUGAAAAAUUAUUAUCUGUAACCUUUCCUAUGUUGAUUACUUAUUUACUCUUUGUGAUUUAAGGCUCUUGUAUUAGUGUUUGGGCCGGUACUGGCAGCGCACCUGUGCUAUUAGUUUGAUUGGCUGAUGAUUUUUUUCAGGCUUAUUUCGAAGUUGAAUAUAUUUCCUUGAACGAGCAUCUUGAGUUCUUGACAUGGCUUGUGAGGCAGCUAAUUUUUUUAUAUUGAUCUAUACCCUCCUUCAGAAUAUAAGAUGAUAUCAUAUAUAUUAUGAUGAAUAGACAUUGAAUGGUUUUUUCAAUUGCAGUGGCUAUUGUUUACCUUCCCUGCGGAAGAGGAAUCAUAUGCUUCAGCAAGGCAGGCUUUAUUGUAGAUCAGUUGAUCUUGCCAAUGUUUCUGUCAUAUACUCCCUCCGUUCCAAAAUAUAAGUCUUUUUAGACAUUUCAAAUGGACUAUAACAAAUGGAUGUAUGUAGACAUAUUUUAGAGUGUAGAUUCACUCAUUUCGGUCCAUAUGUAGUCACUUGUUGGAAUCUCUAAAAAGACUUAUAUUUAGGAACGGAGGGAGUAUAUUUAUAUGCUCUAGUUCUUCAAGACUUGCAUUGAUUUCUUCUCCAGAAAUUUGUGUGCUCUUGCUCCUGCAGGAAGGAUUGAUGGAUUUCGCUGCUCUUGGCUUGAUAAAAUUUAGCAUUUCUAGGUUUUAUGUUUACUUUUUCAUGAUACAGUCUCACUAUGUAAUUGCUAAUUAGAAUUUAGAAUCAUAUUCAGUCUAUACAUAUUUAAGGAGAUAUCCAGUUCCAUGAAUGGCGAAGAAUUUCCGGUCAACCACAAGGAUUUCUCAAAAAUGUGAUGUUCAAAUUUGAAGAGUUAAAUUCUUUGCUAGAGCAGAAGGUGCUAGCCUCGGAAGAGGAUAUAAUGUGAUAAAUUUGUGUUAACA